GAUGAACGCUGGCGGCGUGCCUAAUACAUGCAAGUCGAGCGAACAGACGAGGAGCUUGCUCCUCUGACGUUAGCGGCGGACGGGUGAGUAACACGUGGAUAACCUACCUAUAAGACUGGGAUAACUUCGGGAAACCGGAGCUAAUACCGGAUAAUAUAUUGAACCGCAUGGUUCAAUAGUGAAAGACGGUUUUGCUGUCACUUAUAGAUGGAUCCGCGCCGCAUUAGCUAGUUGGUAAGGUAACGGCUUACCAAGGCAACGAUGCGUAGCCGACCUGAGAGGGUGAUCGGCCACACUGGAACUGAGACACGGUCCAGACUCCUACGGGAGGCAGCAGUAGGGAAUCUUCCGCAAUGGGCGAAAGCUUGACGGAGCAACGCCGCGUGAGUGAUGAAGGUCUUCGGAUCGUAAAACUCUGUUAUUAGGGAAGACCAAAUGUGUAAGUAACUAUGCACGUCUUGACGGUACCUAAUCAGAAAGCCACGGCUAACUACGUG
rnacentral:rRNA from 1 species